rnacentral:rRNA from 1 species
UUCGAAGGGGGCUAGCGUUGUUCGGAAUUACUGGGCGUAAAGGGCGCGUAGGCGGUCUUUUAAGUCAGAUGGGAAAGCCCCGGGCUCAACCCGGGAAUAGCAUUUGAUACUGCGAGGCUUGAGUCCGGGAGAGGAUGGCGGAAUUCCCAGUGUAGAGGUGAAAUUCGUAGAUAUUGGGAAGAACACCGGUGGCGAAGGCGGCCAUCUGGACCGGUACUGACGCUGAGGCGCGAAAGCGUGGGGAGCAAACAGG